rnacentral:rRNA from 1 species
GAUGAACGCUGGCGGCGUGCCUAAUACAUGCAAGUCGAGCGAACAGACGAGGAGCUUGCUCCUCUGACGUUAGCGGCGGACGGGUGAGUAAAACGUGGAGAACCUACCUAUAAGACUGGGAUAACUUCGGGAAACCGGAACUAAUACCGGAUAAUAUAUUGAACCGCAUGGUUCAAUAGUGAAAGACGGUUUUGCUGUCACUUAUAGAUGGAUCCGCGCCGCAUUAGCUAGUUGGUAAGGUAACGGCUUACCAAGGCAACGAUGCGUAGCCGACCUGAGAGGGUGAUCGGCCACACUGGAACUGAGACACGGUCCAGACUCCUACGGGAGGCAGCAGUAGGGAAUCUUCCGCAAUGGGCGAAAGCUUGACGGAGCAACGCCGCGUGAGUGAUGAAGGUCUUCGGAUCGUAAAACUCUGUUAUUAGGGAAGAACAAAUGUGUAAGUAACUAUGCACGUCUUGACGGUACCUAAUCAGAAAGCCACGGCUAACUACGUG